rnacentral:lncRNA from 1 species
CGCAGGAUUAAUUAUAAGAGAAAGAAUAUUCAUAUUCUUUCAAAAUUAUUUUAAAACCUACCUCUGGGGGAAAAUAAACAAUUAGGACUAAAUACGUGAAAAUAAAUAUCUAAAAUGCUCUAGGAUUAAAAAAAAGAAACAUUACCUGAGUAAGUUGGUGACCCAUGCCUAAUAGGUAAUUUUCCACUCCCCAGCGCCUGACUCAUCUCCUAC